UGCGCAGGCGGCUUAUUAAGUCAGUGGUGAAAUCUCUCGGCUCAACCGAGAAACUGCCAUUGAAACUGAUAAGCUUGAGUGUAGUUGUAGUAGGCGGAAUAUAGCAUGUAGCGGUGAAAUGCUUAGGUAUGCUAUAGAACACCGAUCGCGAAGGCAGCUUACUAAACUAUUACUGACGCUCAUGCACGAAAGCGUGGGGAGCAAACAGGAUUAGAUACCCUGGUAGUCC
rnacentral:rRNA from 1 species